rnacentral:tRNA from 1 species
GCGCGGGUGGUGGAAUGGCAGACACGCUACUUUGAGGGGGUAGUGACCGCAAGGUUGUGAGGGUUCAACUCCCUCCCCGCGCA